AUACGUAGGGUGCGAGCGUUGUCCGGAAUUACUGGGCGUAAAGAGCUCGUAGGUGGUUUGUCGCGUCGUCUGUGAAAUUCCGGGGCUUAACUCCGGGCGUGCAGGCGAUACGGGCAUAACUUGAGUACUGUAGGGGAGACUGGAAUUCCUGGUGUAGCGGUGAAAUGCGCAGAUAUCAGGAGGAACACCGGUGGCGAAGGCGGGUCUCUGGGCAGUAACUGACGCGGAGGAGCGAAAGCAGGGGUAGCGAACAGGAUUAGAUACCCGGGUAGUCCAUGCCGUAAACGGUGGGCGCUAGGUGUAGGGGUCUUCCACGACUUCUGUGCCGUAGCUAACGCAUUAAGCGCCCCGCCUGGGGAGUACGGCCGCAAGGCUAAAACUCAAAUGAAUUGACGGGG
rnacentral:rRNA from 1 species